AGCAGCCGCGGUAAUUCCAGCUCCAAUAGCGUAUAUUAAAGUUGUUGCAGUUAAAAAGCUCGUAGUUGAAUUUCGAGACCGGCUUACUGGUCGUGCUAUUGUACGUACUGGUAUAAUCGGUUUCUCCUUUCUGACGAACUAUAAUGCCAUUAAUUUGGUGUUUUAGGGAAUCAGGACUGUUACUUUGAAAAAAUUAGAGUGUUUAAAGCAGGCUCACGCUUGAAUACAUUAGCAUGGAAUAACGGAAUAGGACGUUUGAUUCUAUUUUGUUGGUUUCUAGGAUCGACGUAAUGAUUAAUAGGGAUAGUUGGGGGCAUUAGUAUUCAAUUGUCAGAGGUGAAAUUCUUGGAUUUAUUGAAGACUAACUACUGCGAAAGCAUUUGCCAAGGAUGUUUUCAUUAAUCAAGAACGAAAGUUAGGGGAUCGAAGACGAUCAGAUACCGUCGUAGUCUUAACCAUAAACUAUGCCGACUAGGGAUCGGAUGAUGUUAAUUUUUUAAUGACUCAUUCGGCGCCUUAC
rnacentral:rRNA from 1 species